GAGCGGUAAACCAUACUUUCCAUUGCAG
rnacentral:sRNA from 1 species